AUUGAACGCUGGCGGCAGGCUUAACACAUGCAAGUCGAGCGGGGUGAUGGUGCUUGCACUAUCACUUAGCGGCGGACGGGUGAGUAAUGCUUAGGAAUCUGCCUAUUAGUGGGGGACAACAUCUCGAAAGGGAUGCUAAUACCGCAUACGUCCUACGGGAGAAAGCAGGGGAUCACUUGUGACCUUGCGCUAAUAGAUGAGCCUAAGUCGGAUUAGCUAGUUGGUGGGGUAAAGGCCUACCAAGGCGACGAUCUGUAGCGGGUCUGAGAGGAUGAUCGGCCACACUGGGACUGAGACACGGCCCAGGCUCCUACGGGGGGCAGCAGGGGGGAAUAUUGGACAAUGGGGGGAACCCUGAUCCAGCCAUGCGGCGUGUGGGAAGAAGGCCUUAUGGUUGUAAAGCACUUUAAGCGGGGAGGAGGCUCUUUUGGUUAAUACCCAAGAUGAGUGGACGUUACUCGCAGAAUAAGCACCGGCUAACUCUGUGCCAGCAGCCGCCGUAA
rnacentral:rRNA from 1 species